rnacentral:lncRNA from 1 species
CUUUGGUCAGUUUACGAUUUUGUCCCGUGAUCGCCGGUGCCCAGUUCUUUCCUCGAAGCUCUUUCACGGGAAAUGUUAAAAUUCAGCUGAUUCUUUGUCCAGUGUUCGGAUCGCGGCAACAAAAUCGAUGGCCCGUGAAAGAUGACUGGGUGCAGGGUGGAGAUCGAUCCUCGAUCGCGGCGCAGGGACGUCGAUCAUCCGAGCCAGCGAGGAAAACCACCGAAGGACGAUACAGACGAGGAAACAAGAGGAAACUACUUUGACCACAGGACGCGAGUCGAUCUUCGAUAAUUCGAUUUGUACGGUGUUUCCUCGCUGGAAGUUGACCAGGAUGAACCAGACUGCGAAUUUCUCCGGACACCGAGUCAAGGGGUUUGUUCGAAGAAAAAUCUUGAAGAACGACGGUUUAACGAACGAGGGAACAGUCUUUGCCAGACCCGGCCACGAACAAUAUAUUCCACGAAGCCCAGUUAAUCCUAUCUUUCGGAUCUGAAUUCGAGGUUUCCGUUAUACACUCGCGGCCGACUCGGUCCGCGCGAUCAAAGUGAAUUAAAUCGCGGGGGUGGAGACGGUAUGCGCGACUCUCUCCUCCCUUCCCUUGUCACCCUCCGAAAAUAUACCAGCAGGGGUAACACGCUCGUUACGACCAAUUGAAAUUACCGCGAUCAAGACGCGGACUAGGCGAGAGGAAACGAACAGAGACACGCUCCGUCGCGAGAAUUCCUCGCCUCCAAAUGGCCGCAAUAAAACCGAUGCUUGUAUUUUAUCGGAAACGUUAACUGCUUCGUAAAUCAAUCCUGUUACGGGUUCAGUACGACGCUGGACCUUAGAAGACGGUCAAAGACGCGUGCAAUAUUAUUUAGGAGAGUCGAUCGAAUAUAUCUCAGACAUUUUAAUAAAGCCGCGUCUAUAAACACCAGAGAAGAAUAUCAAAGCGUGUAUUUACAGUCUGUAGUCUAAAAUUAUAGGCUCGAACCGCUGGAUCUCCGAGACCUUUGUCUCGCGGAAGCGUUUGGGAGUCAUCGCGGCGGAAUUUUUCGCAAUCAGCGAAAUGGCGGUGGCGAAGAGGAGUUGGAUUGAACAAACACGAGCAAUCGGUGCGCGCGAGCGAUUCGCGAGCUAGGCGGGAACGAAAUGGAGAGACGUGGAAUAUAAUCUAUCCUGUUUGAGGAGAACUGGCACCGACUGCAAGUUAGAACAAACUCCCAGUGUACUCUGGGAACGUCGUAGCCGGCAACCAAUCCACCGACGUACCACCCUCUUUCACCCUCUCCUUCUGGACGGUCUCUCUUCGUCUGCCACGAGCAUCUCUGAAAUCGGGUAAAAUAACAUCUUUCGCGAUCUAUUUAGACGUGCAGGUAUAUUGGACGUUUCGAAGAAAUCGACUUAGCUCAACUUUCGAUCAGAAUGCUAUGUUUGUUCACUGCUUUUCGAUGAUAGGUCGUUACAGUAGCCAUAACGAAAGGGCUGAAAAUAUACGGAGUUAUAAUCGUUGCACGCAGGAUCUAGUAACUUUGUAAAAUUCCCGAAAAUGAUCCUUGCGGUUUUCUGUAACUGCGCGAUAAAGGUUCUUUUUAACGAGAGAUUCAAAAGCUCGGGAAACGAGGGACCGUUUUGACGAGGGAACGUUUAAAUCCCGCGAUAAGAAGCCCGGGGGUCAGUGGAUCCGCGAGCGUGCGAUGCUCUAAACGGAUUCUUUCCUGCGAUGCUUUCUAUGCAAACUCGUCGAAUUUCAGCGUUGCUCGAGAUACUAGGAAACGGGGACUUCGUAACCCGCUACCGAUCCAUCGAUGCUGCGUUCCCUCCCUUUCCGUUCUCACCGAUAAUUAGAUAAAGCAAUAUCCUGCGACAUUAAAUAGAAAUAGGAUUGCCAUAAUUAAUUCAAAUACAUCCGAGGUUGGAUAUUUCCAGCGGAAACUGUUCCGCAAAUUCUAGGCUGCGAUAAUCGAAUCGAACUUUACUCCCCUCAAGAAUUUACCGAUUUUAUAACUCACGCACGCAAUUCUCGUUCAAAGAUUUUUUCAUUAAAUUAAACUUUUCGAUAAAUAAACGAUCCCAUGAAAUCCUUCGCCUGAAUAAACGUCGGUUUCAUAAGUAGUUGAAACAUAACGAAGAAAAAAAGAAUGCGAACUAAUCGGAGACAAGUUUGCAGAGGAAAUUUAAUAAAGCCGUAUCUUCCCAUAUUCUAUGGGGUUUUUUCCCCGGUGAUCCGGGUCGAAUCAAGAAGGCAGAAACGACGAAGCCGGUUGCUCAUGAAUAUUCAUUUCUUGCCGGUUUCUUACAGGAGGUCGACACGGGGGUGAGCACGGUACGGAGCAACCAGGGCCGUACUUUUAAGCACGAGAGUGGGGGUUCUGGAUCAAUGCCGAGGCCACGCCUCCUUCGUCUUACAUCCUGCACCCUCUUCCUCGCCCCGUCGCGCUCGCCUUCCUUUCCUUUUGCUUUUCCACCCUCUUCGCUGCCUUCAUCCGAGCCCCCGGAAAAUCCGCCUCGCGACUGGCGAAGUAAAUAGCCGCGAGCCACCAAAGCGUCUGAAGAAUCUUAAAUAUAUAUUAAUAUCGCUAUUUCACUUUUUUAUUUUUUAACCUCAUAAAAACUUUAACCUUCAGCGUUACUCGACAUUCAUUGUUAAAAAUAUGACGGGAAAUGCAGGUUAUUGGUAUCUCAAUCUUAUUUACUUUUUAGAAGCUUGUUUCCGAGAUAAGAAAACGGUGGACGGAGACUUCAAUUGCGAAGUACGAAACUCUCUUCCUUGGAUUUUUGCCUUGUAUUUCUUUCCUUUUCUGUUCAAUCUCUUAUGUUAGCAUACUCUUCAGAAAAAUUCCUUCUAUUUUAGUCCCUUGCCGUACAAUUUAUUUGUCAGAUGCGUCAGUCAAAACUGACUAUUUAUAGGUAUA